AGUGAACGCUGGCGGUAGGCCUAACACAUGCAAGUCGAACGGCAGCACAGUAAGAGCCUGCUCUUACGGGUGGCGAGUGGCGGACGGGUGAGGAAUACAUCGGAAUCUACUUUUUCGUGGGGGAUAACGUAGGGAAACUUACGCUAAUACCGCAUACGACCUACGGGUGAAAGCAGGGGAUCUUCGGACCUUGCGCGAUUGAAUGAGCCGAUGUCGGAUUAGCUAGUUGGCGGGGUAAAGGCCCACCAAGGCGACGAUCCGUAGCUGGUCUGAGAGGAUGAUCAGCCACACUAGAACUGAGACACGGUCCAGACUCCUACGGGAGGCAGCAGUGGGGAAUAUUGGACAAUGGGCGCAAGCCUGAUCCAGCCAUACCGCGUGGGUGAAGAAGGCCUUCGGGUUGUAAAGCCCUUUUGUUGGGAAAGAAAAGCAGCAGGUUAAUACCCCGCUGUUCUGACGGUACCCAAAGAAUAAGCACCGGCUAACUUCGUG
rnacentral:rRNA from 1 species